AUGAAAAAAGCCAUUGAAUUAACUAAAAAAGCAUAUAUAAGGGGAGUAAAAGCAAAAACCGCUAGUCGCCUCGAAGGAAAAGAAAUUGCACUCACCGAAUCCAUUAAAAAGGGUAGACUUCCCCUCCAAACAAUUCACGCUAAAAUUGAUCUACUUUUCCUACGAACCAAACAAGCCUUAACUAUACUCUCUCUUUUGUAA
rnacentral:rRNA from 1 species